rnacentral:rRNA from 1 species
GAUCGUAACAAGGUUCCGUAGGUGAACCUGCGGAAGGAUCAUUC